UCGUCCAUCGUCUACAUAAUAAUAAACAUCGUAUUAUAUUUUUAUCGUCCGAAAUAUUCAAAUUACGAUUUUAUUAAACCCGAACGCUUUCCCGGACUUGAUUACCGCACUCACCCGGAGUCGAUAACACGAAGUUGAAAAACCGUUUGCGCGGAAAAUUAUUAACUCGUGCGCGACUAUAAUAUACCGACCGUCGAUAAAAAAAAAAACCGUCGAAUUCAUAGAGUGGGGGAGGUUAUCAUUAAACCGAAUUAUUAGACAGUAUUAGAAUAUAUUACGUAUAAUAUCUUCAGAGAGACGAGCCGAAUGGUCAAUCCUCGAACAAUAAAUUGUAAUUUUUCCUCCGUAAACGAAUCGAGUGGACGUGGCCGAGAGAAU